ACGUACGACCACAGGCUCUGGAAAAUUCGGGAUCCCGUCCGCUCUCCCAUAGACAAGUCAGAGACCGUCAGACUAGUAGUUGGGUGGGUGACCACCAGCGAAUCACUGAUGUUGUACGUU
rnacentral:rRNA from 1 species